rnacentral:tRNA from 1 species
UCCCUGGUGGCUCAAAUGGUAAAGCGUCUGCCUACAAUGCGGGAGACCCGGGUUCGAUCCCUGGGUUGGGAA